rnacentral:rRNA from 1 species
GAUGAACGCUGGCGGCGUGCCUAAUACAUGCAAGUCGAGCGAACGGACGAGAAGCUUGCUUCUCUGAUGUUAGCGGCGGACGGGUGAGUAACACGUGGAUAACCUACCUAUAAGACUGGGAUAACUUCGGGAAACCGGAGCUAAUACCGGAUAAUAUUUUGAACCGCAUGGUUCAAAAGUGAAAGACGGUCUUGCUGUCACUUAUAGAUGGAUCCGCGCUGCAUUAGCUAGUUGGUAAGGUAACGGCUUACCAAGGCAACGAUGCAUAGCCGACCUGAGAGGGUGAUCGGCCACACUGGAACUGAGACACGGUCCAGACUCCUACGGGAGGCAGCAGUAGGGAAUCUUCCGCAAUGGGCGAAAGCCUGACGGAGCAACGCCGCGUGAGUGAUGAAGGUCUUCGGAUCGUAAAACUCUGUUAUUAGGGAAGAACAUAUGUGUAAGAAACUGUGCACAUCUUGACGGUACCUAAUCAGAAAGCCACGGCUAACUACGUG